rnacentral:rRNA from 1 species
CCUACGGGGGGCUGCAGUGGGGAAUAUUGCGCAAUGGGGGAAACCCUGACGCAGCAACGCCGCGUGAGUGACGAAGGCCUUCGGGUCGUAAAGCUCUGUCGGAGGGAAAGAAACUACGAAUGGCUAAUAUCCAUUUGUAUUGACGGUACCCUCAAAGGAAGCACCGGCUAACUCCGUGCCAGCAGCCGCGGUAAUACGGAGGGUGCGAGCGUCGUACGGCAUUACUGGGCGUUCUGCGCGUGUAGGUGGUAAAGCCCUCGGCCUAACCGAGGAAGUGCGCCUGAAACUGCCAGACUUGAGUACGAGAGAGGAGGACGGAAUUCCCAGUGUAGAGGUGAAAUUCGUAGAUAUUGGGAGGAACACCGGUGGCGAAAGCGGUUCUCUGGAUCGAUACUGACACUAAGACGCGAAAGCGUGGGGAGCAAACAGGAUUAGAUACCCUUGUAGUC